UUCACAACGAGCGCCCUCUAUAAGCCGGCGACGUCGUUAAUGACGUUUUCUCAUCACUACUGCCUAUAACCUGUGGGUUGUUUUCUCGCUUCUCGGUGAUCACCACGCAAUUCACCACGCAGUGCUUAAUAAGAUAAGAUUAGAAGAAUUUUGAAUUUAAAAAUUUGCAGGUUCAUAUGUAGCUUCUCAUCUCAACUUACAUCCAAUACAAUCUCAGAAUUCUGAAAUGGAGCUGGAGGAUAGUGAGAUGAUUAGAAAGUUCACGAAUAAGCCAAUGUCCCUCUGUAUGAAAGAUUUGAAUCAAGAGGACAACGAUUCCACGAGUAAACAAUUCCCUCCAGUAUCUGGAUCUAUUUCGAGAAGUAAUGAAAAGGUCGGUUCUGGUCAGCCAGCAUUUACUCCUAUUAAUGAACAGUCUGAAACAGAUCGCUCUGGAUCACAAGUAUCACCGUCAUCAUCACUGGAUUCUACAUUGGCUGAAAUUAAUGUAACGUUGGGCAAACUUAAUACAAACCAGGGAUUGGUAUUACAGGAGUUGAAAAAGACGAGAGCAGAUAAUCAAAGUAGAUUUGAUAGGAUAGAAAAACUUUUGACAGAUAGAAAUUGAAGAUAACGAUAAAUGCAUGUGAUCAGUGAACUUGACGCUGCUGCUGUUUUCUGUUGAUUUAGAAUUUUUUAUACGUCAAUCUUCCAUUUCGGAAUUCGUUAAUACUUAUUUUGUCUACUUAUUAUGAGUAAUUAUCACGAAACUUCUGAAAUAUAGAUUAUACCGUA